AUUGAACGCUGGCGGCAGGCUUAACACAUGCAAGUCGAGCGGAGAUGAGGUGCUUGCACCUUAUCUUAGCGGCGGACGGGUGAGUAAUGCUUAGGAAUCUGCCUAUUAGUGGGGGACAACAUUCCGAAAGGAAUGCUAAUACCGCAUACGUCCUACGGGAGAAAGCAGGGGAACUUCGGACCUUGCGCUAAUAGAUGAGCCUAAGUCGGAUUAGCUAGUUGGUGGGGUAAAGGCCUACCAAGGCGACGAUCUGUAGCGGGUCUGAGAGGAUGAUCCGACACACUGGGACUGAGACACGGCCCAGACUCCCACGGGAGGCAGCAGUGGGGAAUAUUGGACAAUGGGGGGAACCCUGAUCCAGCCAUGCCGCGUGUGUGAAGAAGGCCUUAUGGUUGUAAAGCACUUUAAGCGAGGAGGAGGCUACUGAGACUAGUACUCUUGGAUAGUGGACGUUACUCGCAGAAUAAGCACCGGCUAACUCUGUGCCAGCCGCCGCCGUAAAAC
rnacentral:rRNA from 1 species